CCUACGUGGGGCAGCAGUGGGGAAUAUUGCGCAAUGGGCCAAAGCCUGACGCAGCGACGCCGCGUGAGGGAUGAAGGUCUUCGGAUCGUAAACCUCUGUCAGCAGGGAAGAACGGUCACUGUGCUAAUCAGCAGUGAAUUGACGGUACCUGCAAAGGAAGCACCGGCUAACUCCGUGCCAGCAGCCGCGGUAAUACGGAGGGUGCGAGCGUUAAUCGGAAUUACUGGGCGUAAAGCGCUCGUAGGCGGUAUGUCAAGUCAAGGGUGAAAUCCCCGCGCUCAACGUGGGAACUGCCUUUGAAACUGGCAAACUGGAGUGUGUGAGAGGAUAGUGGAAUUCCAGGUGUAGGAGUGAAAUCCGUAGAUAUCUGGAGGAACAUCAGUGGCGAAGGCGACUAUCUGGCACAUAACUGACGCUGAGGAGCGAAAGCGUGGGUAGCAAACAGGAUUAGAUACCCUAGUAGUC
rnacentral:rRNA from 1 species